UCACUAUGCCCACGGUGGUCUAGAACUCCUGGUGAUCCUCCUGACUCAGCUUCUCCAGUGCUGGGAUGACAGAUGUGCACCACCACGCCCAGGAGAUUAAAACUGGUCUUUAGGAAAACUACUAGUAAAAAUGAGCUUCAACUAACAUGUUCAAGCAGCUAUGCGUUAAUUGGAAUACAUUUUAAGCUCCAGCUACACCAUGUUAACUUUGAAGAAAUACGUGCAUGCAGUGGAGAUGGUUUUCAUGACUCACCUGCCAAAAACAGACCCUACGGGAUGGUUAAAGUUGUUCACCUGCAUAUCUGAGCCUCCGUUGUAACUUCCGUUGUCACUGAAGCAGGGACCUGUGCUAGCUGAGAUCAGGAAAAUACCCAUUCUACAGACACAAACACCAAGACUGCCAGUGACAGCAUCCUAACGUGACACUCCUGCUGCACUGGACUUGAUUCUGCUUCACUCCACCGCUGCUCACUGCUGGAAUCGCCUCCCUCCCUCCCUGGUUCUCUCCAGCUCCUGGCUUCCUGUCCUCUCUGCUGCAGGCUCCUGUUUGCUGCUUACUGUUUGAAUAUCCACGGUGCACACAGGGCCUCCCAAAAACGGAAAUUUCUGCUCUUUUGGUUUUGGUUUAUUGAGACUCAUGAAGGAAAUAAUGUUAGACACAUGAUUACAUUAGUGAUCAUUUUCCUUUUAUUGCCAGAAAUUACAAUGUAUUGUAACUGAAUCUUUCCAGAGAGAAUUAUAGGAGCCAGGUGUGGUGGUGCACACCUGUGAUCCCAGCUCCUGGGAGGCCAAGGCAGGACGAUUGCAGCAAGUUCGAGGCCAACCUGGAAUACAUAGCGAAACCCUGCCUCAAAAAAAAAAGGGAAUAGGAG
rnacentral:lncRNA from 1 species